AGUGAACGCUGGCGGUAGGCCUAACACAUGCAAGUCGAACGACAGCACAGUAAGAGCUUGCUCUUACGGGUGGCGAGUGGCGGACGGGUGAGGAAUACAUCGGAAUCUACUUUUUCGUGGGGGAUAACGUAGGGAAACUUACGCUAAUACCGCAUACGACCUACGGGUGAAAGCAGGGGAUCUUCGGACCUUGCGCGAUUGAAUGAGCCGAUGUCGGAUUAGCUAGUUGGCGGGGUAAAGGCCCACCAAGGCGACGAUCCGUAGCUGGUCUGAGAGGAUGAUCAGCCACACUGGAACUGAGACACGGUCCAGACUCCUACGGGAGGCAGCAGUGGGGAAUAUUGGACAAUGGGCGCAAGCCUGAUCCAGCCAUACCGCGUGGGUGAAGAAGGCCUUCGGGUUGUAAAGCCCUUUUGUUGGGAAAGAAAAGCAGCGGGUUAAUACCCCGCUGUUCUGACGGUACCCAAAGAAUAAGCACCGGCUAACUUCGUG
rnacentral:rRNA from 1 species